CAAGCAUUAAGUUGUCAUAUUUUCAGAUAAGGAUUGAUAAUAUUAUUUCUUGUUCUCUAUUUCACAAUUACAGUUGUACUAAAUCCUUUCAUUCAAUACUUAGACAUCCACAUACAUAUUUAGCUUUAUAUUUAGCAUAGACAUUAUUUAGGUGUUCCAUACUUGGUGCUACAAGAUUUAACACAAUCAUCAUACCAUUUGUUUCUCAGAUACUGAGAUAACCUUGCGUAUUUUAUGGGAUUCGGACAACAUAGACUAACGGCAAAAAAAUCUGAUGUAAAAAAAAGCGGUAUCUAACACUAACCUUCAAUCCCUGGACGUGAGCUUCAGAGUUAAAGUCAACUUUGGAUAUGAAGAAUCCGGUGGCGUACUCUCUGCCGCCCCUGAGCGCGAAGCCGAAGGCAGGCGCGGUUCUGCGCGGGCGCACCAGGCGCACGGCGCGCACGCGUCGGUCUCCCGCCACAGCACCCACUGCCCGGCCAGACCCUGAGGUCGUUGUGGACGCUGUUGAUGUCGCGUACAUUUUCACCCUGCAAGGAAUUAUAAAAAUACUUGUAUGACCACAAACGUUGAAAAUAAAAUACAUAGUAACUAUCCAAGAAAGAGGUGCUUCUACGAUGAUAAUGGCUGCAAAGAGGCCUACACUUACACAAAGUAAGAUAUGCUUUAUUUAAUAUAAAGUAGAUAACACUGAAACCACGAAAAACAAAUGGUAAGUAAUCAAAACUUUAUCCCAAAAGUCUUAUGUUUUUUACUUGUGAAGUGACGUCCGAUGGAGUAGGUACGGAAGAACAUGCUGGACAUGCUGUGCUGGCACAUGAUUCCGAAAAAAAAUUGAGGACUUGGACUUUAAAAACAUCUAUUUCCAAGUGUACCAUAAGAACUUACUUUACAUGGAUGAUUUAUUCAUUUUACUUAAAAGUGUUUGAAAUCAAAGACAGCGUAAACAUUCAUAAAACCUUUCUACUCAUCACUCUUUACCUAAUUCAUUGUAAAACUUUUUGUGUCAAUGUGCCGUUACAGAACCUCCGCAUGUAAAUAUUCAGAUAAAUAAACAGAUAAUUGGUUGAGGCCCACCGCAUUAUGCAAAA